GCUGGCGGCGUGCCUAAUACAUGCAAGUCGAGCGGACCUGAUGGAGUGCUUGCACUCCUGAUGGUUAGCGGCGGACGGGUGAGUAACACGUAGGCAACCUGCCCUCAAGACUGGGAUAACUACCGGAAACGGUAGCUAAUACCGGAUAAUUUAUUUCACAGCAUUGUGGAAUAAUGAAAGACGGAGCAAUCUGUCACUUGGGGAUGGGCCUGCGGCGCAUUAGCUAGUUGGUGGGGUAAUGGCUCACCAAGGCGACGAUGCGUAGCCGACCUGAGAGGGUGAACGGCCACACUGGGACUGAGACACGGCCCAGACUCCUACGGGAGGCAGCAGUAGGGAAUCUUCCGCAAUGGGCGAAAGCCUGACGGAGCAACGCCGCGUGAGUGAUGAAGGUUUUCGGAUCGUAAAGCUCUGUUGCCAAGGAAGAACGUCUUCUAGAGUAACUGCUAGGAGAGUGACGGUACUUGAGAAGAAAGCCCCGGCUAACUACGUGCCAGCAGCCGCGGUAAUACGUAGGGGGCAAGCGUUGUCCGGAAUUAUUGGGCGUAAAGCGCGCGCAGGCGGUUCUUUAAGUCUGGUGUUUAAACCCGAGGCUCAACUUCGGGUCGCACUGGAAACUGGGGAACUUGAGUGCAGAAGAGGAGAGUGGAAUUCCACGUGUAGCGGUGAAAUGCGUAGAUAUGUGGAGGAACACCAGUGGCGAAGGCGACUCUCUGGGCUGUAAC
rnacentral:rRNA from 2 species